GGGCGGCAAAAUUGGCUGGAAAAAAAAGCUAGCAUGCUAAAAGUUAGCAUAUGUCACAUACCAAGUUAUAUGACUAUGAGGGGUAGGGCGGCAAAAUUGGCUGAAAAAAAAAGCUAGCAUGCUAACAGUUAGCAUAUGUCACAUACCAAGUUAUAUGACUAUGAGGGGUAGGGCGGCAAAAUUGGCUAAAAAAAGCUAACAUGCUAACAGUUAGCAUAUGUCACAUACCAAGUUAUAUGACUAUGAGAGGUAGGGCGGCAAAAUUGGGUGAAAGAGUUAGCACGCUAACAGUUAGCAAGCGUCGUUAUAUGACUGAGGGGUAGGGCGGAAAAAUUGGAUUUAAAAAAAAAGAAGCUAGCAUGCUAACCGUUAACAUGUGUCACAUAUCAAGUUAUAUGACUAUGAGGGGUAGGGUGUCAAAAUUGGC